GACGAACGCUGGCGGCGUGCCUAAUACAUGCAAGUCGAGCGGACAAUUGAGAGCUUGCUCUCAAUUGUUAGCGGCGGACGGGUGAGUAACACGUGGGCAACCUACCCUGUAGACUGGGAUAACUUCGGGAAACCGAAGCUAAUACCGGAUAAUCUUUAGCGUCACAUGGCGCAAAAGUAAAAGUUGGGUUUACCUAACACUACAGGAUGGGCCCCGGCGCAUUAGCUAGUUGGUAAGGUAACGGCUUACCAAGGCGACGAUGCGUAGCCGACCUGAGAGGGUGAUCGGCCACACUGUGACUGAGACACGGCCCAGACUCCUACGGGAGGCAGCAGUAGGGAAUCUUCCGCAAUGGACGAAAGUCUGACGGAGCAACGCCGCGUGAACGAUGAAGGCCUUCGGGUCGUAAAGUUCUGUUGUUAGGGAAGAACAAGUACCG
rnacentral:rRNA from 1 species